rnacentral:rRNA from 1 species
UGGGGAAUAUUGGACAAUGGGGGCAACCCUGAUCCAGCCAUGCCGCGUGUGUGAAGAAGGCCUUCGGGUUGUAAAGCACUUUAAGCGAGGAGGAAGGGCUUCCGGUUAAUACCUGGAAGCAUUGACGUUACUCGCAGAAUAAGCACCGGCUAACUCUGUGCCAGCAGCCGCGGUAAUACAGAGGGUGCAAGCGUUAAUCGGAAUUACUGGGCGUAAAGCGCGCGUAGGCGGUUGUGCAAGUUGGAGGUGAAAUCCCCGGGCUUAACCUGGGCACUGCCUUCAAAACUGCACGGCUAGAGUAUGGGAGAGGAAGGUAGAAUUCCAGGUGUAGCGGUGAAAUGCGUAGAGAUCUGGAGGAAUACCGAUGGCGAAGGCAGCCUUCUGGCCUAAUACUGACGCUGAGGUGCGAAAGCAUGGGGAGCAAACAGGAUUAGAUACCCCUGUAGUCC